rnacentral:rRNA from 1 species
GCGGCCGUAACUAUAACGGUCCUAAGGUAGCGAAAUUCCUUGUCGGGUAAGUUCCGACCUGCACGAAUGGCGUAAUGAUGGCCAGGCUGUCUCCACCCGAGACUCAGUGAAAUUGAACUCGCUGUGAAGAUGCAGUGUACCCGCGGCAAGACGGAAAGACCCCGUGAACCUUUACUAUAGCUUGACACUGAACAUUGAGCCUUGAUGUGUAGGAUAGGUGGGAGGCUUUGAAGCGUGGACGCCAGUCUGCGUGGAGCCGACCUUGAAAUACCACCCUUUAAUGUUUGAUGUUCUAACGUGGACCCGUAAUCCGGGUUGCGGACAGUGUCUGGUGGGUAGUUUGACUGGGGCGGUCUCCUCCUAAAGAGUAACGGAGGAGCACGAAGGUUGGCUAAUCCUGGUCGGACAUCAGGAGGUUAGUGCAAUGGCAUAAGCCAGCUUGACUGCGAGCGUGACGGCGCGAGCAGGUGCGAAAGCAGGUCAUAGUGAUCCGGUGGUUCUGAAUGGAAGGGCCAUCGCUCAACGGAUAAAAGGUACUCCGGGGAUAACAGGCUGAUACCGCCCAAG